UCGUCCCACUUCUCAUAUUCUUGAUUAGUCUAUGUAAUUUGUUUGAAACCUCAAUUUAGGAUUUGUUGGUGCGCAUUGAUAAAAUCUCAACUUUGAUUUGCAUGACCUCGGCAAUGAAAAGCAUAAAAAUCCCAAACCUUCAAGAGUGGAAGAAGGUUUUAGAGUCUUCAAGGUGUCAGGUUUAAGGCAAAUGUUGUUCUUCCAAUUUCAGAUGAUUUUAAUGGGAUGAAGAAAUCUUGGGAUGAUUUUUAUGAUUUUCAUUUCCGAGGUGUUUUUGCGAGGAUUUGAAAGCAAUAACCAGAUACACUGAUACUAAAAGGGGUUCCAUCUAGAUGGUUUGCGGAAACAAGAGAGUUUCAUCGGAGCCUUCUGUGAUCGUCAGUCAUACGAUUUUUUCAGUGUUUGGAUAAAUAAGGUAAUGGAGAAUUUUGUUUUUACUUGGUGUUAUGGUUUUUCAGUGUUUGAUUUUUAAAUCUAGGUCUCAAUUGGAUACAAGUUACACUGGAGUUUAUGGCUAAAGCUGAAUUAGACUUUACAAAUAACGCCAUACGUAAGCUACAACUUGCACUUCUUCAGGUUCAGGGUAUACAAGAUGAGAACAAGUUGUUUGCAGCUGGGUCUUUGAUUUCUAAAAAGGAUUAUGAAGAUGUUGUGACUGAAAAGUUCAUUCUAAUGUAUGCGGUUAUCCUCUAUGAAAGGGAGAUACCGUAUCAUCUGAAAAAUGAAGAAUGUUUAUCAGUUUAUAUAAUAUGCACUAUGCAGUAUCAUCUCUCAUUGAAUGACAAUUACAUGUCUACAUGUAACAGUUAGGAGACACCUACUUAUGAAUUGUGGUUGGGAUUUAGGAUAUUUUGUCACAUCUGCACCUAUUGAAUUAAAAAAUGACUGGCCACUCAUUUAUUUUUUUAUGUUUA